GACGAACGCUGGCGGCGUGCUUAACACAUGCAAGUCGAACGGAAAGGCCCUGCUUUCGUGGGGUGCCCGAGUGGCGAACGGGUGAGUAACACGUGUGUAACCUGCCCUUGAUUUUGGGAUAACUUCAGGUAACUGGGGCUACUACCGGAUCGGAGCUCAUGCUGCAUGGUGGGGGUUGGAACGUUUCGGCGGUUGGGGAUGGAAUAGCGGCUUAUCAGUUUGUUGGUGGGGUAGUGGCUUGCCAAGCCUUUGACGGGUCGCCGGCCUGAGAGGGUGGCUAGCGACCAUGGGCCUGCGGUAGGGCCCAGACUCCAACGGGAGACAGCAGUGGGAAGUAUUGCACAAUGGGCGGAAGCCUGAUGCGACAACGCCGCGGUCGUGAUGACGGCCUGCGGGUUAUAAAACGCUUUCGCCUGUGACGAAGCGUGAGUGACGGUAAUGGGUAAAGAAGCACCGGCUAACUACGUG
rnacentral:rRNA from 1 species